rnacentral:rRNA from 1 species
GACGUAGGAUGCAAGCGUUGUCCGGAUUUAUUGGGCGUAAAGAGUUCGUAGGCGGCAUAUCAAGUCUGGUGUUAAAUCCCGAUGCUCAACAUCGGUUCGGCACUGGAUACUGAUAAGCUAGAGUACAGUAGAGGCAAGGGGAAUUCCCAGUGUAGCGGUGAAAUGCGUAGAUAUUGGGAGGAACACCAGUGGCGUAAGCGCCUUGCUGGGCUGUUACUGACGCUGAGGAACGAAAGCCAGGGGAGCAAAUGGG